CUACUUUAUUUUUUAAAAAAUGAAAUGUAUAAAAUUGGCUUCAAAAUGCGAAACGUUUAUGUAUCAACUUCAAGAAACGUAAACACGAUAAAUAAGUUUCAAAAUGUCGCGAUUUUUAUCGACUAGCAUUAUCUUGGUCGCUUUUUUUGUCGUUUGCGUCUACUCCAAUGGAAAGUGCAGUUAUCCAUGUGGUGCAAAUGAAGUCUGCAAUACAUGCGGGAAUCUCUGUGAGACAAAAUGUUCAAACCUAGAUAGUACGGGCAGAAAUAUGGGCGCAUGUCCCUAUAUAUGUAAUCCACCAGCUUGUGAAUGUGAACAAGAAUAUGCGCGAGAUGAGACAACCGGAAGAUGUGUUCCUAAACAAUCUUGUCCUCGCCAUUGAAUUAACAAAAUACUUAUAACAUUUUUUUGUCAUAAUCAAUUGUAGAAUACCUCGAAGAAUAUGACUUUCGAUGAAUUUAAAUAACGAAAAAAAUUCUUAUAAUUGCAAAAAUCAAUUGUAUUGUCGAAAUUAUUAAAAUAAAUAAUUAAUUUCCAUUUAAUUAUAAAUAAAUAAGGAAAAUAAAUUUUAUAUUAGUAAAUAUUUGUUUUAAAUUUCUUUGUUACAAUGUAAAGAAUAACGGUUAUCUAUACAAGGAAAAUUUAAUUGCAAGACUUGCAUAAAUAAUUAUACUUGUGCUAUAUAUCAAAUAAUCAAAUAUAAUUUACUGAUUGUUGAAUAUUCUUAUCAAUAAUUUUGUGUUCGUUACUUGAAAUACCUAUUUUGUAGACUCAGUUAUAUUUUUUCGUUACAAGGAAAUAAACGAAGUCUUGUUAUAUAAAAAAUUAUAAAUUAAAGUCAUAAGUUGCGAAAAAAAAAAAAAAUCUAAAUUUAUAAAAAUGUCGCGAUUUUUAAUAAUAAAUAUUGUUCUUUUGUCAGUUGCUGCAUGUAAGUAAUUUUAAAUACACUGUAAAAAAUCACCGGGGCGUUCAGUCCGAUUCCACUAAUUCCAGAGAAUGCGACUCGCCAUGUGGAGAAAAUGAAUCGUGCGAUGAUUGUGGAAAUCUCUGUGAAAUUAAUUGUUCAAAUCCAGAAGGCGGAGCUUGUAGUUUUGUCUGUGCCCCGCCAGCAUGUGUAUGUCAAAAAGGAUUUGCAAGAGACAACUCGACUAAUAAAUGCGUCAAAAUAGACGAAUGUCCUCAAGACGAUUGAAUAAGAAAAAUUAUAAAUUUUUUAAUUUAUACUUAUUCUAAUUCUUAACUGAUAAAAAUUAAUUAUUAUUUAUCAUUAUAAAUGUGGUGUUGGUUAUUUUAUUUAUUGUACUUGAACAAUGAAUUACAUAACGUGAUAACUUAAUAAAGUUAAAUUAUUCUAAUCUAAUUGUUGUAAUUUUCCAUUCAUUACUCAACUGCCAUUUUUCUUGACCCAUAAACCUUUGAUCGUACUGAUUACCUUUAUUUUAAAAAAUAUAAAAAUUCAAGUGAUACGUAUAUAAGCGGCUCGAACGCCCGAACAUCCAUCAAUUGAAUUGAAGUAAUUCGAUAGAUAUUCUUCAAAAUGUCACGAUUCUUAUUAACAAACAUUUUCCUCUUGGCACUUGUUGUCGCCUGCGUUUACGCUGAUGGAGGAUGUACCGAAGAAUGUGGAGAAAAUGAAGAGUGCAAUUCAUGUGGGGAUGAAUGCGAGUUAAACUGCUCAGACUUAAGCAGAGUAGCUUGUCCACUUAUUUGUAACCCACCAGCGUGCGUAUGUAAGGAAGGAUUCGCCAGAGACGAUAACAGUGGCACGUGCAUCAACAAGCUCCAGUGCCCUAUGCAUUAAAUAAAAAAAAUAUUCAAAUAUUUUACUGAAAACUAUUGGAAAUCAAUUGGUUCAAAUAAAAAUAAUUCGUAAUUUUUUGAAUUUUAUAAUGUUACACUGGAAAAAACUGGGAGUGAAUUCGGAGUUAUUUCAGAGUGAUCUGGAAUUCAUUUGAAUCCGCAUUCACUCUGAUUUGGAGUUUUAAUAUUAAAUUAAACUCCCAUUCGGGGUGGAUUUCACUUCGAGAAAAUGAAUUAAAUAAACAGUCAUCCGCUUCGCAUUCAUUCCGGAUUUACUUCACAUUCACUCUGCUAAUUUUUUACAGUGUACUGUCUAAAAUAUGUAAACAUUUGUGUGAUUAUAAAUAAAGUUGUUUUUCUCAAAAGUCCACAUCAUUGGUAUUUUUUUUUUUAAUAAUAAUAUGGAAAACAAUUAAAAGAUAAUCUCAGUAAUAACAAAUAAUUUUAUCUUGUUAUAAAAAUAACUCGUUAUUUAUGUAAUGAUAAACGUAUAAAUAAAAGAAUCUCACGAGAUGAGUUACUCAAUUAAUCUUGAAACUGUUGUGACAGAAAAAAGUGCGCUCAUCUAGCCAGAUUUAAAAUUAAACAUGUCUCGAUUUUUAUUGAUCAGCAUUUUUUUAAUUUCUGCCGUCAUAUUCCAAGUCACUGCAGAAUUGACGUGUAAAAAUAUUAGAUGUGGACAAAACGAAGUAUGUCAUGAUUGCGGACCUUGUGAUAGUAAAUGUGGUGUUAUGGUAUCUUGUACAAUGGACUGUCGAAAACCAGGAUGCGGUUGUAUCAAGGACCAUGUCAGAUUAAAUGGCAAAUGCGUUCACGAAAGUAGAUGUCCAAAACCUCAUUAUUAAUUUAAUUAAUAAUAAAUUACGAAAUCAUGUUAUUAUUCAUCUAUCGAUCUAUCGAUCUAAACAAAUAAAUGACAUUUGAAUUAUAUUAA